AACGAACGCUGGCGGCAGGCUUAACACAUGCAAGUCGAACGCAUGCCUUCGGGCAUGAGUGGCAGACGGGUGAGUAACGCGUGGGAACCUACCCCUUGGUACGGGAUAGUUCCGGGAAACUGGAGAUAAUACCGUAUGUGUCCUGAGGGACAAAGAUUCAUCGCCAAGGGAUGGGCCCGCGUCGGAUUAGCUAGUUGGUGGGGUAACGGCCUACCAAGGCGACGAUCCGUAGCUGGUCUAAGAGGAUGAUCAGCCACAUUGGGACUGAGACACGGCCCAAACUCCUACGGGAGGCAGCAGUGGGGAAUAUUGGACAAUGGGCGCAAGCCUGAUCCAGCCAUGCCGCGUGAGUGAUGAAGGCCCUAGGGUUGUAAAGCUCUUUCACCGGUGACGAUAAUGACGGUAACCGGAGAAGAAGCCCCGGCUAACUUCGUG
rnacentral:rRNA from 1 species